rnacentral:lncRNA from 1 species
GCAAGCGAGGAACAAAUGAGCAUCAGAGACGUUCGUGUCAAUGGGCACCACUACCUUCUAACCUGCCCGGAGGUAUUCAACUCCGGGAUCUAACACACGCGUAGGCAUCGGUGUUUCUUUUGUUUGGCACAACUGGAGGAAAACACCGGGCAAACCACCCCCUUACUCUAAACUCUUCUGAUUACAGAAGCGGUUUAGGGUUUGGACAUUAAUCGUGCAUUGAUCUCAGCUCCACACCCCCUGGA